rnacentral:rRNA from 1 species
AUACGUAGGUGACAAGCGUUAUCCGGAUUUACUGGGCGUAAAGGGCGUGUAGGCGGUCUUGCAAGUCAGAAGUGAAAUUCCUGAGCUCAACUCGGGCGCUGCUUCUGAAACUGCAGGACUUGAGUGCUGGAGGGGAUAGCGGAAUUCCUAGUGGAGCGGUAAAAUGCGCAGAUAUUAGGAAGAACACCGGUGGCGAAGGCGGCUAUCUGGACAGAAACUGACGCUGAGGCGCGAAAGCGUGGGGAGCAAACAGGAUUAGAUGCCCUGGUAGUCCACGCCGUAAACGAUAAUACUAGGUGUAGGGGGUAUCGACUCCCUCUGUGCCGCAGUUAACACAAUAAGUAUUCCGCCUGGGGAGUACGGCCGCAAGGUUGAAACUUAAAUGAAUUGACGGGG